AAAAUACUCCCUCCAAUCUAAAUUAGUUGUCGCUCAAACGGAUGUAUCUAGCAUUGAAAUAUGUCUAGAUACAUCCAUUUCAGCGACAACUAAUAUGGAUUGGAGGGAGUAAUAA
rfam:Triticum aestivum genome assembly, contig: Triticum_aestivum_CS42_TGACv1_scaffold_569316_7AS